rnacentral:rRNA from 1 species
UACGAAGGGGGCGAGCGUUGUUCGGAAUCACUGGGCGUAAAGGGCGCGUAGGCGGCCCUCCUUGUCGCGUGUGAAAGCCCCGGGCUCAACCUGGGAACGGCGCGCGAGACGGGGGGGCUGGAGUUCGGGAGAGGAGCGUGGAAUUCCCAGUGUAGAGGUGAAAUUCGUAGAUAUUAGGAAGAACACCAGUGGCGAAGGCGGCUCACUGGCCCGGUACUGACGCUGAGGCGCGAAAGCGUGGGGAGCAAACAGG